GACGAACGCUGGCGGCGUGCUUAACACAUGCAAGUCGAACGGAAAGGCCUCUUUCGGGGGGUACUCGAGUGGCGAACGGGUGAGUAACACGUGAGUAACCUGCCCUUGACUUUGGGAUAACUUCAGGAAACUGGGGCUAAUACCGGAUAGGAGCUCCUGCUGCAUGGUGGGGGUUGGAAAGUUUCGGCGGUUGGGGAUGGACUCGCGGCUUAUCAGCUUGUUGGUGGGGUAGUGGCUUACCAAGGCUUUGACGGGUAGCCGGCCUGAGAGGGUGACCGGCCACAGUGGGACUGAGAUACGGCCCAGACUCCUACGGGAGGCAGCAGGGGGGAAUAUUGCACAAUGGGUGGAAGCCUGAUGCAGCAACGCCGUGUGCGGGAUGACGGACUUCGGGUUGUAAACCGCUUUCGCUCAUGACGAAGCUUUGUGUGACGGUAGUGGGUAAAGAAGCACCGGCUAACUACGUG
rnacentral:rRNA from 1 species